rnacentral:rRNA from 1 species
GGAGACUGCCGGUGAUAAACCGGAGGAAGGUGGGGAUGACGUCAAGUCAUCAUGGCCCUUAUGGCCAGGGCCACACACGUGCUACAAUGGGCGGUACAGAGGGUUGCCAACCCGCGAGGGGGCGCCAAUCCCUUAAAGCCGCUCGUAGUCCGGAUCGGAGUCUGCAACCCGACUCCGUGAAGUCGGAAUCGCUAGUAAUCGCGAAUCAGCACUGUCGCGGUGAAUACGUUCCCGGGCCUUGUACACACCGCCCGUCACACCAUGGGAGUUGGUGGCACCAGAAGUGGAUCGCUUAACCCUCGGGAGGGCGUUCACCACGGUGUGAUCAAUGACUGGGGUGAAGUCGUAACAAGGUAGCCGUAGGGGAACCUGCGGCUGGAUCACCUCCUUUA